GUUUCCCCCCAGAAUCAAGUCCCCAUCUCUAAGGAUGGGUGCAAUAAAUGUCUUCAGACCAUCUUUAAUCACAGCCUCCGCCCCCACUGAAAAGUGUUUUUCUGACUUUUAAGGAUCUGAAAUGUGAUGUCAUGAUUCUUACUCUUCCACUCAGUAAUUAAUUGGUGUUUUUCAAGACUAUCAUUACUCCAGCCAAGAUAUGGAAACAACCGAAGUGUCUGCAGACAGAUGAAUGAAUAAAGAAUAAAUGACACUAGCUUUCUAGCACCAAAAAAGUAUUACCUCCAAAGCAAAAUUAACAGGAAUUACCACAGAUCCCAUCUCUACAUGCUGCAAAACAACUGAGACACGUACAGGAACUCUGGCUUUUAUGGAAGAACCAACAAAAUUAUUAAAGAACAACAUAAUCAGCAAUUAAAUUAUAAUAUCUGAUUAACUGACGUACCAUCAGUAGCACCUGGGGUUGGCAGAAAAAACAGUAAAUAGUUAAAAAGAAUGAUGGUGGCACGCGUCUGUAGUCCCAGCUACUCGGGAAGCUGAGAUGAG
rnacentral:lncRNA from 1 species